AGGUUGGCAGCCUAAGGUCGACCAUUGCCCUCCGAAGGUAGAGGCCACGCGUUCCAAUCGCGUCGGAUGUGCCA
rnacentral:tRNA from 1 species